rnacentral:rRNA from 1 species
AUUGAACGCUGGCGGCAGGCCUAACACAUGCAAGUCGAACGGUAACAGGAAGCAGCUUGCUGCUUCGCUGACGAGUGGCGGACGGGUGAGUAAUGUCUGGGAAGCUUCCUGAUGGAGGGGGAUAACUACUGGAAACGGUAGCUAAUACCGCAUAAUGUCGCAAGACCAAAGAGGGGGACCUUCGGGCCUCUUGCCAUCGGAUGUGCCCAGAUGGGAUUAGCUUGUUGGUGGGGUAACGGCUCACCAAGGCGACGAUCCCUAGCUGGUCUGAGAGGAUGACCAGCCACACUGGGACUGAGACACGGUCCAGACUCCUACGGGAGGCAGCAGUGGGGAAUAUUGCACAAUGGGCGCAAGCCUGAUGCAGCCAUGCCGCGUGUAUGAAGAAGGCCUUCGGGUUGUAAAGUACUUUCAGCGGGGAGGAAGGGAGUAAAGUUAAUACCUUUGCUCAUUGACGUUACCCGCAGAAGAAGCACCGGCUAACUCCGUG